AUACGUAGGGGGCGAGCGUUGUCCGGAAUGACUGGGCGUAAAGGGCGUGUAGGCGGUUGAAUAAGUCUGGAGUGAAAGUCCCGGUUUCAAGUUGGGAACUGCUUUGGAUACUGUUCAACUUGAGUGCGGAAGAGGGAAGUGGAAUUCCCCGUGUAGCGGUGAAAUGCGUAGAGAUUGGGAGGAACACCAGUGGCGAAGGCGACUUACUGGGCCGUAACUGACGCUGAGGCGCGAAAGCGUGGGGAGCGAACAGGAUUAGAUACCCUGGUAGUCCACGCGGUAAACGAUGAAUGCUAGGUGUUGCGGGUAUCGACCCCUGCAGUGCCGGAGUAAACACAAUAAGCAUUCCGCCUGGGGAGUACGGCCGCAAGGUUGAAACUCAAAGGAAUUGACGGGG
rnacentral:rRNA from 1 species